rnacentral:lncRNA from 1 species
CUUUUUUUUUUUUUUUUUUUUUUUUUUUUUUUUUUGUCUUUUUAGGGCUUCAGCCACAGCAUAUGGAGGUGCAGCCCUAAAAAGCAAAAAUAAAUAAAUAAAUAAAAUGAUGAGGAUGAGCCUUUAACAGUUCUCCCAGCACAGUGGGCUAUGGAAUUUUGCACAGGUUCUCAUUUUUCCUGUGACCCAGCGUGUUGGGAGGACAGAGACAUCUCCGGCUUUGGGCAUGAGUAGGAGUGGUAGCACCCUGUGCUGUGCGGUUCUCUUACUAAGGCUGCCCGAGAGCUGCCUUUUUCCCUUGUUCCUGUCAGGUCCUGUCACUUGUGCAUGUCAGUCCCCCCUUCCUUCCUCCCAUUCUGGAGUAGUGACUUAGCAAGCGCCGAGGGGCUCUCCAGGAAUGGGGGCCUUGCUACUUCCACACCUGCUCUUGGUGGGAACUGGGUCAGUGGUGAGGGGCAUCUCUGAAGUGUGAGUGAGGAUAUGCUCAGACAUGAUCUUUCUUGUCCCCUCACUGAGGCUGGCUAGGAGGAGCCUGUGUAGUCCAUGUGGAGACACCGGCUACUUUACCUUCUUUCUACCUGGGGUGGAUGUUCACUUCCUUGCCUGACUGCAGAUAUAUGUGAGUCUCCAGUGUGAUAGUGAAGGAGUCACGUCCACCAGUUGUCUCCCAAUGACUGUGUGUUCACCUGAGCCACACCUGGGGCUGCCCACUGACUCCCUGUCCUGCCUUCACUGCCUGGCCCACCCUGCCUGCUCCUUGCCCUUCCACAGUAACUCUCCCUGCUCCUGACACCUUCCUCUGCCACGCCCACCCUGCUCCUUCCCUGAGGCUGGUUAGGCAUCCUUGUGCACAGGGCCAGACAUCACCAACCUGGCAAGGUAUUUAUUUGCCAUAAAGAGGCCAGUCAAAUAAUGAAAAUAAGUGGGCUGGGACAGUGAGCAGUUUGCACGGGAAGUCAGCAUUGGUAGAAAGGGGAGGUGAUACUUGGCUCACUAAUUGUUAAUGAAAUACAGAUUAAUCUGUACCUAUUGAAGGAGCCCUAAUGAGAAGAUGAGGCUGCAGGUGUUCAGACGUCCCUCAUGUAUGAUUUCUAGCCCUUGAGGGAGAGCCGUUUGGCAAGUGGUUUUGAGAGGUUAGGUUUUUUUUGUUUGUUUGUUUUGUUUUGUUGGUUGGUUUUAAACAGAGGAUAAAUCCCAAGGGAGGUAUCAAAAGGCUGAAAGGGUCAUGGACUUGCCAGGCUAUUUCUGACCGCAAGAGGCUGUGCAUGAACCUUGGGCUCUCUGAACUGUAGAACUUCCCCAAAGUCUCUCUGGAGGGCAAUACCUGGGAGUGGCUCAGAGACUUCCUCCUCAUUUAGCAAUGGCACAGUGUCUCUGCUGUGAUCGUGUUUUUUCAGACAGAUAAUGCCAGGAAGGCCCUAGAAACCGGGCAGAGAUGAAUGGUCUGUUGGGAUAGUGGGAGCAGUUCGGCUCCCACAGUAGCUGAAGUUUAUGGAAAGCAGGUUGUGUAGCCAGUUUACCUCCCUCAGGUCUGUUCUUCCUCCUGGCGUCCUGGCUCAUGCCGCUUUGCUGUCUUUGCUCUGGACCCCUCUCCCCUCUCUGGUACUUUGGUGCCAUCUCACCAUUUCCUGAGGUGUCAGGGCCUCUGCUGUCCACCCUUGGCGGCCCUGCUUAGAUGCCACCUUUGCCAUAGACCCCUCUGGCUUGACUUCUACCUGAUAUAUACCUCCCUGCCCCAAGGGGCCCGUGCUGGGCUUUAUAGGCCUGGAGCCUAGAUGGAGCCUCCCCUUUGCCCCAUCUGAGCCUUGGCAUCUCUGCUACAGCAGGGGCCCUUUCACUGAGGGUGAAAGACAAGGGCUGCAGUCUGCUGGGGUGUCACUGCCUGCUAGGUAUGAGGCCAGAGGCCCAACCUGGCAUUGCAUAGACCCUAGAACUCCUGCCUGUUGGAUGUGGUGAGAGCAGGGCUUGGUGCCAGACCCCUGGAGUAUUUCUCAGAGUCUGCUUCCUGGUCCCUAGGGCCCGAUUGCCUCCAGAAUGCCCAGGUGAUGCUACCUAGACAGUGCUCAAUGUCUUUGCCAUCAUGGCCUAAGAGCAGAGGGAUGAGCCCCAAGUGUGUGAUCCUGAACUUGCACGCAGCAAGGGCCAAAAGAGAAAGGCAGAGGACAUAGCAUUUUCCACAGGGCCAAGAGGCUGAGAGCCUUCUCAAAGCUGAAGGCCUCUGCACCACCCCCCCUGUGGGAGCUGCUGGACCAUGACAGUAGGGCCCAGUAGCCUUAUCCCAUCCCUGCUCCUGUGCAACUUCCAGGAGGGUCUCUGGCUGUGCGAGGUCUGCAACCCCAGCUUGCUGCAGUCCCUGGCUUCUCAGGUGUUCUGCCUCCCCCCUCCUAUCUGGCAGCAGGACAAUGUCUGCCUAAGGACAAGGACACUCUGUGCUGCCGGGCUCACUUUCGGUGACUGCUGGUUCAGGAGUGUGUGGAGACCCAGGGCUCUAAAUAUACCAGGGUGAGGUCACUGGGAUGGAGACAGGCCAUGUGGCAAACCUAGGACCCUGUUGGGGCCAGAAUCCCAGGGCUGGGGACAGGGAGUGGGUGGCCUCGCAGUCCCUGAGGGGCCAGCCUCCUAACUGUCCAGUCUCUUCUGUGCUGAAUCCCUGCCUGUCGCA